CCGUGUGCUGCUCUGGUUCGCCAGAAGUGGCUCAGUCAUGCUGGCCACAUGACCCGGAAGCUGUAUGCUGGCUCCCUCGGCCAAUAAAGUGAGAUAAGUGCCGCAACCCCAGAGUCGGUCAGGAGUCCCUUUACCUUUACUGUGUUAUCAAGCUGAGAACCUGGACUCCUGACACAUAAGCUAGUUUCUGGGGGGAACUCAAAGAUACGCAGUACCAGCACCAUGUUUUCCAUAAGAAAAGCACCGAGUAAAUUCUCACCUGUAUUUUCAUAGAAUUGUAGACUUGGAAGGGAUCUCAAAGGUCAUCUGGUCCCUGCAAUUCAGGAAUCUUAUCCCACUCCACAUCAGAAUAACCUCAGGCCAACUGACACAAUAAUACCUGUAUGUUUUCGCCCAUAUGGCAAAUAAGAGGACGUCUGUAUGAGCAGAAGAGCAACAUAGAGGGAAAGAAUUCAUGGAAUUAUAGAACUGUAGGGUUGGAAGCUACCAAGAUGGGUUCUCGAGUCCAACCUCCCGCAAUUCUUUUGGGAAUUAUAGGGACAGAACUACCUAAAGUGUAUUGAAACUUAUUAACGUAUGCUACUAUGGUGGCUACUCGCCUCAAAAAGGAAAGAAGCAGGAGUCCCAGCAAAGGUUUGACAUUACAGGAGCCAGAAGCUAGUACAAAAAGAGUACAAUUAAUACAAGAAUUUGGUCAAGUAGCAGGUUUUAAAUUAAACAAGAUGAAAACCAAGGUAUUAGAGAAAAAUCUUACAGAGAUAGAGAAGGAGAGGUUUCAGAAAGAGACAGGAUUAACAAUUGUUAAUAAAGUGAAAUAUCUAGGGGUGAAUAUGACUGCCAAAAAUGUGAAUCUGUUUAAAGAUAAUUAUGAAAAAUGUUGGUCAGAGGUGAAGAAGGAUUUAGAAAUAUGGUCAAAAUUGAAGUUAUCAUUGUUGGGCCGAAUUGCAGCGAUAAAGAUGAAUGUAUUGCCUAGAAUGUUGUUUUUGUUUCAAACAUUACAAAUUGUGGAUAAAAUGGACUGUUUCAAGAGGUGGCAAAGAGAUAUUUCUAAAUUUAUCUGGCAGGGCAAAAAGCCCAGAAUAAAAUUUAAGAUACUAACAGACGCAAAGGAAAGAGGGGGAUUUGCCCUGCCAGAUCUUAAACUUUACUAUGAAUCAGCCGCUUUUUGUUGGCUGAAAGAUUGGCUACUUCUUGAAAAUGUGGACAUUUUAGAUUUAGAAGGUUUCGAUAAUGUGUUUGGGUGGCAUGCAUAUUUAUGGUAUGACAAAGUCAAAGCGCAUAAGGCCUUCAAGAAUCAUAUUGUCAGGAAAGCAUUAUUUAAUGUUUGGGUGAGAUAUAAGGAUUUGUUGGAAAGUAAAACACCAAGGUGGCUGUCACCAAUGGAGGCUAAGGCUUUGAAAAAAACAAAUAUGGAGACAAACUGGCCAAAAUACUGCGAAAUUUUAGAACAAGUCGGAGAUAAAUUAAAACUGCAGAGCUUUGACAAAUUAAGAACUAAAGUUCGAGAUUGGCUGCAUUAUUAUCAAAUAAGGGAGGUUUUUAACUUAGAUAAAAAGAUAGGUUUCCAGGAGGAAAAAUCUAAACUGGAAACGGAAUUGUUAGAACCUAAAACCAAAAAUCUGUCAAGAAUGUAUAAUCUGCUGUUGAAAUGGAAUACACAGGAUGAAAUGGUUAAAUCUGCUAUGAUUAAAUGGGCGCAAGAUGUGGGGCAUAAUAUUAUGUUUGCUGACUGGGAACGGUUAUGGACCACAGGUAUGAAAUUUACGGCCUGUAACGCCUUAAGAGAAAAUAUAAUGAAAAUGAUUUACAGGUGGUACUUAACCCCAGUCAAGCUAGCAAAAAUUUAUCAUCUGCCUGAUAAUAAAUGUUGGAAAUGUAAAGAAAAUGAAGGUACUUUUUUUCACCUUUGGUGGACGUGCCCAAAGAUCAAGGCCUUCUGGGAAAUGAUAUAUAAUGAACUAAAAAGGUAUUGAAAUAUACUUUCUUGAAGAAACCAGAGGCUUUCCUCUUGGGCAUGGUCGGCCAAUUGGUGCGAAGGGAAGACAGGAAUUUCUUUAUGUAUGCGACAGCAGCGGCAAGAAUACUUAUUGGGAAAUACUGGAAGACACAAGAAUUGCCUACCCGAGAAGAAUGGCAGAGAAAAGUGAUAGACUACAUGGAACUGGCUGAGAUGACCGGUAGAAUUCGAGAUCAAGAAGAAGGGUCGAUGGAAGAAGAUUGGAAAAAAUUUAAAAUAUAUCUUCAGAAAUACUGUAAUAUAAAAGAAUGUUAGAAAAGGUUGGAGAAGAAUAUUCGAUCGUAUUGGCAGACAGAGUAUAAUGGAAUAAGUAAAUAUGAAGUGUAAAAUAAAGACAGACGAGAAUUAAAUACUUUCGAAUGUUAAAAUAAGUAAAUGGAAAGAAGGUUAGAAGGAUUUGCUGGAGAUACGAUUCAAAUUAGAAUACAAAGCAGAGAAGUGAGAGGAAGUCACGGAAAUAAGUAAAUGGGAAAACGGUUCUAAUGGUUUAAAUUUGAUUUUUUGUUACUUUUGUAUUGUGAUUUUUUGUCUUUUGUAUUUUUCUUUGUACCGUGUGCUUUUUUGUAGGAUGUAUGUGAUUUGUUUUUCUUUUUUUUUCUUUUUUCUUUUUCUGUAAUCUUAAAAUUGGAAUAAAUAUUCUUUUUUUUUAAAAAAAAGGAGUCCCAGCAAAGGAAGAAUGGAUACAAAAACAUAUGGAAUACGGAGAAAUGGCAGGACUUACCAGAAGAAUAAGAAAUCAAGAUAACAACCUUUCAUUAAAGAAUGGAAACAGUUUAUUGAAUAUUUACAGAUAAAUUGCAAACAGAUAAAAACAUUGGCAGGAUUGUUGUAAUAACCUGCAAUUUCGUAAGCGUAUAUAUUUAAAGAAGAUGAAUAAAUGAGAAAGUCAAGUUAAUUUGGAUAUGCAGAAGAUAUUAAAAAAUAAAUUUAAGGAACUGCAGAAAGACGGG